AUACUACUCAUUAAUGCCAAUAAUGGAUGCCUUGGAGGCUUUGGCCGAGGAAGGACGCAUACGGCGGCGAUACUCGUCGGGUAGGUGCCAUAAACCUAUAAUCCGGCGGUUUCCGAAUGGGGAAACCCAUCCCGAUUUAUCGGGAUAACCAAGCGUGAAGUUAGUCCCGAUUUAUCGGGAUUAUAUUAGCGUUUGGUUGGGUACGGCGUGAACUGAAACAUCUUAGUAACGCCAGGAAAAUAAAUCAAAUGAGAUUCCCUAAGUAGCGGCGAGCGAAAGGGGAAGAGUCUAAACCGAGCGAGGCAUUUUGCCUCGCAGUGAAUAGUUAUUAGUGCUUAGUUAUUAGUUCGAUUGAAUUAAUAAUUUAUAACUCGUAACUUGUAAUUGCGAAGCAGUAUGCUUCGCUUGGGGUUGCAGGACUGCAUAGUAGGAUCAGUUGAGGGUAGAAGAAAGCGCCGGAAUUGCGCUGCCAAAGAGGGUGAAAGUCCCGUACUCAAAACCCGAGACUGCCUCGCAGUUUCCUAAGUACCAUGGGGUACGAUAAAACCCUGUGGGAAUCUGGGACGUCCACGUUCCAAGACUAAAUACCAAAGUCUACCGAUAGUGAACUAGUACCGUGAGGGAAAGGUGAAAAGCACCCCGGAAGGGGAAUGAAAUAGACCUGAAAUUAUUGGCUAACAAGCAAGCGAAGCAUUCGCUGUCGCUCAUUGCUUCUAAAAGUAAAAAUUAAAUAUUAAAAAUAAAAAAUACAUAUAAAAAAUUAAAAAAUUCUAUUUUCUAUUUUAUAUUUUAUCUUUUAUUUCGGAGCAGCGAGCGAUAGCGAGAUGUGACGCUGUGCCUAUUGAAGAAUGAACCGGUGAGUUAUCCUUUUGUGCAUUAGUCUAAGUCUGCUUUGCAGACGAAGGCGUAGUGAAAGCAAGCUCUAAUCGAGCAACAUUAGCACAUGGGGAUAGACCCGAAACCGGGUGAGCUAACCUUGGGCAGGGUGAUGGUCGAUGAAAGUCGAUCGGAGGCCCGAACCCGUAUCUGUAGCAAUAG
rfam:Candidatus Levybacteria bacterium RIFCSPHIGHO2_01_FTLL_37_33 rifcsphigho2_01_scaffold_13721, whole genome shotgun sequence.